rnacentral:rRNA from 1 species
CCUACGGGAGGCAGCAGUGAGGAAUAUUGGUCAAUGGACGCAAGUCUGAACCAGCCAUGCCGCGUGCAGGAAGACGGCUCUAUGAGUUGUAACCUGUUUUUGUACGAGGGUAAACGCAGAUACGCGUAUCUGUCUGUGAGUAUCGUACGAAUAAGGAUCGGCUAACUCCGUGCCAUCAGCGGCGGUAAUACGGAGGAUUCAAGCGUUAUCCGGAUUUAUUUGGUUUAAGGGGUGCGUAGGCGGUUGGAUAAGUUAGAAGUGAAAUCCCUAGGCUCAGCUUAGGAAUUGCCUCUGAUACUGUUCGGCUAGAGAGUAGUAGAGGUAGGCGGAAUGUAUGGUGUAGCAGUGAAAUGCUUAGAGAUGAUACAGAACACCGAUUGCGAAGGCAGCUUACCAAGCUACUUCUGACGUUGAGGCACGAAAGCGUGGGGAGCAAACAGGAUUAGAUACCCUAGUAGUC